GCUCUUUUCAUGAUUACUUGUUACAAUAUGAUUAGAUACUAUCAACAUAGUGCACAGCAGUUUUCAUACUGUUGAAAGUUUACUGGGGAACGGGGAACGUGAAUGUGUCCAAUCUCCUGGAGUUCCAGACUAUACCAGUAGGGGGCAUCCGUGACAAAGUGACGUUCGUCCCACCAUGACGGUCCUGCCCCCCUCCAGUGUGGAGCUGCAGCAGGGGAAGGCCACUCUCAUGUGCCUGGCAAACAAGGGCUUCCCCACAGACUGGAAGCUGAGCUGGAAGGUGGAUGGGAGCAGUAGCAGCACCUGGGAGGUGACCGGGAGCCCUGGGGUCCUGGAGAAGGACGGCCACUACAGCUGGAGCAGCACCCUGACCCUCCCUGUCGACCAGUGGAGGAAGGUGGGCUCUGUGACCUGUGAGGCCACCCAGGGCUCCCAGACUCCACUCUCGGAGACACUGAGGAGAGACCAGUGUUCUGAUUAAUGAGCUCCUCCUCUGACUCCACUGUUUUUACUCUGUUCUACACUUUUUACUCUGUCCUCGCCGUCUUACUGAUKCAGCACUACUAGCACCACAGGAGGUUGGUGGCACCUUAAAUAGGGAGGACGGGCUCAUAGUUAUGGCUGGAAUGGAAU